rnacentral:misc_RNA from 1 species
UGGAAAUUUAUCGAUACUCCGCUCCAUCUCGUCUUUGUCAAACUUGAGAGGUGUCAGAACAACACCAUCAGAAUCGAAAGUGGAUGUCUCCCUAAACUCCACAAUAUUGGCGGAGCUUUUUCUCAAGGAUUGUGGUUUUCGUGAUUUGUCCUCCUUGAUAAGGGGUACCUCUUCACUUGUGCUUUUGCUACGGGCGUAAUUUCUAGAUUGUGAACGAGUUGUCUUACCAGCUGCGGAAGAAGGUUUGGUGUUCUCCUUUCUCAUGUCAGAGAAGUUUGGGACAGACUGUGCCAGAGGAUUUUCAGAUUGAAUUCUCCGCCUACCUGAUGUAUUAUUAGAAGCUUUCCCAGAAGACCUUGGAACAGGUGCUACUGUGGUGCGAGGUGUGGAUGAAGACAAACCUUUGACAGGUAAAGG